AUACGGAGGGUGCAAGCGUUGUCCGGAUUUAUUGGGUUUAAAGGGUCCGCAGGCGGGAAAAUAAGUCAGUGGUGAAAGCCUACAGCUCAACUGUAGAACUGCCAUUGAUACUGUUUUUCUUGAGUAUAGAUGAAGUGGGCGGAAUAUAUCAUGUAGCGGUGAAAUGCAUAGAUAUGAUAUAGAACACCGAUUGCGAAGGCAGCUCACUAAACUAUUACUGACGCUCAGGGACGAAAGCGUGGGGAGCGAACAGGAUUAGAAACCCUAGUAGUCC
rnacentral:rRNA from 1 species